rnacentral:rRNA from 1 species
GACGAACGCUGGCGGCGUGCCUAAUACAUGCAAGUCGAGCGGACCACUUCGGUGGUCAGCGGCGGACGGGUGAGUAACACGUGGGCAACCUGCCUGUAAGACUGGGAUAGCACCGGGAAACCGGUGCUAAUACCGGAUAAUCCUUUCCUUCACAUGAGGGAAAGCUGAAAGACGGUUUCGGCUGUCACUUACAGAUGGGCCCGCGGCGCAUUAGCUAGUUGGUGAGGUAACGGCUCACCAAGGCAACGAUGCGUAGCCGACCUGAGAGGGUGAUCGGCCACACUGUGACUGAGACACGACCAAGACUCCGACGGGAGGCAGCGGUAGAGAAUCUUCCGCAAUGGACGAAAGUCUGACGGAGCAACGCCGCGGGAGCGAUGAAGGCCUUCGGGUCGUAAAGCUCUGUUGUCAGGGAAGAACAAGUACCGGAGUAACUGCCGGUACCUUGACGGUACCUGACCAGAAAGCCACGGCUAACUACGUGCCAGCAGCCGCCGUAACAC